AACGCUGAAGCUCAGCUUUUGUUGGGUGGAUGAGUGGCGAACGGGUGAGUAACACGUGAGUAACCUGCCCUCUUCUUUGGGAUAACGCCCGGAAACGGGUGCUAAUACUGGAUAUUCACUUGCCUUCGCAUGGGGGUUGGUGGAAAGGUUUUUCUGGUGGGGGAUGGGCUCGCGGCCUAUCAGCUUGUUGGUGGGGUGAUGGCCUACCAAGGCUUUGACGGGUAGCCGGCCUGAGAGGGUGACCGGUCACAUUGGGACUGAGAUACGGCCCAGACUCCUACGAGAGGCAGCAGUGGGGAAUAUUGCACAAUGGGCGAAAGCCUGAUGCAGCGACGCCGCGUGAGGGAUGGAGGCCUUCGGGUUGUAAACCUCUUUCGCUCAUGGUCAAGCCGCAGCUUUGGGUUGUGGUGAGGGUAGUGGGUAAAGAAGCGCCGGCUAACUACGUGCCAGCAGCCGCGGUAAUACGUAGGGCGCGAGCGUUGUCCGGAAUUAUUGGGCGUAAAGGGCUUGUAGGCGGUUGGUCGCGUCUGCCGUGAAAUCCUCUGGCUUAACUGGGGGCGUGCGGUGGGUACGGGCUGACUUGAGUGCGGUAGGGGAGACUGGAACUCCUGGUGUAGCGGUGGAAUGCGCAGAUAUCAGGAAGAACACCGGUGGCGAAGGCGGGUCUCUGGGCCGUUACUGACGCUGAGGAGCGAAAGCGUGGGGAGCGAACAGGAUUAGAUACCCUGGUAGUCCACGCUGUAAACGUUGGGCACUAGGUGUGGGGGCCACCCGUGGUUUCUGCGCCGUAGCUAACGCUUUAAGUGCCCCGCC
rnacentral:rRNA from 1 species